UACGUAGGGCGCAAGCGUUAUCCGGAAUUAUUGGGCGUAAAGAGCUCGUAGGCGGUUUGUCGCGUCUGCCGUGAAAGUCCGGGGCUCAACUCCGGAUCUGCGGUGGGUACGGGCAGACUAGAGUGAUGUAGGGGAGACUGGAAUUCUCGGUGUAGCAGUGAAAUGCGUAGAUAUCGAGAGGAACACCAGUGGCGAAGGCGAGUCUCUGGACGACACCUGACACUGAGGCACGAAAGCUAGGGGAGCAAACAGG
rnacentral:rRNA from 1 species